rnacentral:rRNA from 1 species
GGGGAUAACAUCCGGGAAACGGGUGCUAAUACCGCAUUAGUUUUCUUGAUUGCAUGAUUGAGAAAGGAAAGACGGCCUUUGUGCUGUCGCUUAUGGAUGGACCCGCGGCGUAUUAGUUAGUUGGUGAGGUAACGGCUCACCAAGACGAUGAUACGUAGCCGACCUGAGAGGGUGAUCGGCCACAUUGGGACUGAGACACGGCCCAAACUCCUACGGGAGGCAGCAGUAGGGAAUCUUCUGCAAUGGACGAAAGUCUGACGGAGCAACGCCGCGUGAGUGAGAAAAGGUUUUCGGAUCGUAAAACUCUGUUGUCAGAGAAGAACAAGUUGGAGAGUAACUGCUCCAGCCUUGACGGUAUCUGACCAGAAAGCCACGGCUAACUACGUGCCAGCCGCUGC